UUGCACAAUAGAGAGAAAUUUGGGAAUAUAGAUAGAGAGAGACAUUGAGAGGGGAGGGAAGAUGAAGAAAAGAAGGCACAGAUCUGCGAAAAAACAAAAAUGCAGCCAUACCUCCUCUCUUCUAUUUCAUCUUUUUCCUAUCACCUAAGCACAAACUAGCCAUUUUCUUUGAUCCAUUUUUAGCCAUGUGAGAUCAUCUUUAGCCACUCAAACUCUAGCUGAAAAUCAGCAGAAAACCCAUUAGCAAAAACACACCAAAACCCAUCCAAAACACCCCCAAAUGCAGCUGAAAAGCACAACAAUUAAAACCCCAUUGAAGCCAGUUCUUCUCCUCCAAAAAACAAAUCCAGUGAAAAACUCCAUUAAAAUGCUUCAAAACGCCCCCAAACUUCAGCUUUGAAUCACCCCAAAACCACCUUUUACACAGCUGAAACGUCAACCUUUGUAACAUCAUUUUUUCAGCUGUAAAAACCAGCUUUGAAGUACUGCUUUCUUAACCAUUUUUAGCCAUCGAAGUAGCCAAAAAACAAAAAUGACCCCAAAAGCUGCAAAAAUGCAGCAUCUCCACCAACAAAAAAGAAGCUCCGACCCUACUGAGACGAGGCUCUUUUUGAGGCCGCUAGUGAGAUUUUCCGGUUAAGUCGAGAUCGCCGGCGAGUUGCUUUUCCCGGUUCGCGAUUCAUGUUUCAGAUUUUGUUCUUGCUCUUGGUCAACCAUGGCUUGUGCACAUAUGCGAUACUCGAAAUUUCUCCUUCAUUUGGAAGACGAUUUGCUUUGCUUAAGGUUAUACUCCAACUUUGUUCUUUUUUAUUUUAGAUCUUAUUUCUUAUUGGUGUGUGAAUAAUAUCUAUCUAGUUUAAUUUACUCCAUGCUAAAUCGAGAAUUUAUCUUUGUCUGGUAUUAUGAAGACUAGCUCAUGACCAUUUUAAUUUAUUUAUAACUUUUACGGCUGUACUUGUUUGGUAGUACACAUUGUUUGAGUUGCUUUAUUUAAACUAAAAUGAUAGUAUUUAGUUUGAGCAUAUUUAAAAUGUUAAGGAAGUGUGGCAGUGUUAUCUUUACUAAUUUUGGUGAGUGGUGGGGUUAAUCACAAUUGAAAGAAAUUGGGCUUUACAUGAUGUCAAACUGAAUUCUAAUUUUUUUUAUUAGACCUGAGCCAAAUAAUUUAACGUCGCCCAAGGUUUUAAGUAAUAUACAUGUUGCUAGCCUAUUUUCACGUCUUCCAUACUUAUCAAUUCAUACCAUUUCUCCCACAAUAAUUUCAUAAUUAAUUCAAGCCAAGUUGAGUCAAUAAAGCGACCGUGCUAGAACCACGCGACCCAGGGAAUGCCUUACACCUUCUCCCCGGUCAACAGAAUUUCUUACCCGGACAUUAUUUUCGCAGACCAAUAAUAAAAGAGUCAAAUCUUCCUUUGAAUAGAGGUUCAAAUAAUAGGUGACUUGGAACACCAAAAAUCAAUUCCAAGUGGAGACUUUGUAAAUAAAGUAAUCCCUACUCAAGUUUGUCACUUUAAUUGGAAAAUUUCUUUAACCCACAAUCCACAACGAUACAUAACAUACAUAUCGUUUCGGGGUAAAAAGGGGUGCGACAAUGAGGUACGCAAUUUUCGAUUUAUUAUAUUAGUAGGACCUUAGGUGAGGCCGAGACUAGGUACCCUUUCAUAGAAAAACUGGCGCUCGCCUUGCUAAACGGCUCCAGGAAGCUAAAACCAUACUUCCAAUGUUACCCCAUAUGUGUUAUAAAAACUUACCCAUUAAGGAACGUAAUGCAUAAGCCCGGACUCUCGGGCCGAUUGGCCAAAUGGGUCAUCGAAGUAAAUGGUUACGAUAUUGAGUAUUGACCUCGGACCGCCAUUAAGUCCCAAAUUUUGGCAGACUUUGUGGCCGACUUUACCCCAACGCUAAUAUCCGAGGUUGAAAGAGAGUUAUUGAUUAACUCGGGGAAUUCCUGGGGAAUCUGGACCCUCUUUACGGACGACGCCUCAAACGCAAAAGGGUCCGGACUUGGCAUCGUACUAAAGCCACCAACAAGUAAUAUAAUUAGGCAAUCUAUUAAGACUGUGAAAUUGACUAAUAACGAGGCCGAAUAUGGGGCCAUGAUUGCAGGCCUUGAAUUAGCCAAAAGCUUGGGGGUAGAGGUGAUCGAAGCUAAGUGUGACUCACUCCUUGUGGUAAACAUAGUUAAUUGGACAUUCGAGGUCAUGGAAGAACGAAUGCAGAGAUACUUGGAAAAGUUACAGGUGACAUUACAUCAGUUCAAAGAAUGGACUUUGCAACAUGUACCACGGGAUCAAAACAAUGAGGCCGAUGCCCUCACUAACUUGGGAUCGUCGGUCGAAGACAACGAGAUCAACUCGGGAGAAGUCAUACAGCUUAUGAGAUUGGUGGUGGAAGAAGGCCAUGCCGAGAUCAACUCAACGAGCCUAACUUGGGACUGAAGGAAUAAGUACGUGGAAUAUCUCAGGACCGAAAAACUAUCCUCGGACACGAAAAGAUCGAGGGCCCUACGUACAAAGGUAACCCGAUUUAGCCUGUCCGAAGACGGAACCCUGUUCAGAAGGACAUUCGAUAGCCCACUUGCAAUAUGUCUAGGUCCGGGGGAUACUGAGUACGCUUUGAGGGAAAUCCACGAAGGUACCUGUGGAAAUCAUUCGGGCGCCAAAUCACUGGUUCGAAAAAUAAUCAGAGCCGGUUACUACUGUAUAGACAUGGAAAAAGAUGCAAAGGGGUUCGUUCAAAAAUGUGAUGAAUGCCAAAGACACGCUCAGAUGAUUCAUCAACCUGGGGAGCUGCUGCAUUCAGUUUUGUCACCAUGGGCGUUCAUGAGGUGGGGAAUGGACAUCGUCGGCCCCCUUCUAUAGGCACCCGGUAAGGCUCGAUUUAUAUUAUUUCUGACUGAUUACUUUUCUAAAUGGGUAGAAGCCCAGACAUACGAAAAGGUCAGAGAGAAGGAAGUUAUCCAUUUUAUUUGAGACCACAUCAUAUGCCAAUUCUGGAUGCCGACCGAGAUUGUAUGUGAUAAUGGGAAACAAUUCAUCAGAAGCAAAGUAACAAAAUUCCUUGACGACCAUAAGAUCAAAAGGAUUCUAUCGACACCCUAUCACCCUAGUAGGAAUUGACAAGCUAAAUCUACCAAAAAAACCAUACUCCAAAGACUUAAAUAAAGGUUUACCGACACCAAAGGAAAAUGGAAGAAAAUGCUACCUGAGGUCCUAUGGGCGUACCGUACAACUUCGACGUCCAGUACUGGGGCCAUCCCAUUUUCUUUGGUUUAUGGCACCAAAGCUUUAAUACCAGUCGAGGUCGGAGAACCAAGCAUCAGAUUCUGAUAUGCAACAAAGGAAUCAAACAAUGAGGCUAUGAGUACGGGUUUGGAGCCAUUAGAUGAAAGGCGCGAAGCCGCCCUCGUCCGGCUGGCCGCUCAAAAAUAGCGGAUUGAAAGAUAUUACAAUUGAAGGGCCAACCUUCGACACUUAAAUACAGGAGACUUGGUACUAAGAAAAGUUACACUGAGUACCCGAAACCCGAACGAAGGGAAAUUAGGGCCGAAUUGGGAAAGACCAUACCAAAUAUUCGAGAUCACCGGAAAAGGGUCCUACAAGCUCGGAACAAUGAACGACGAGCAAUUACCGAACAAAUGGAAUAUAACUCACUUAAAGUGAUAUUAUUGCUAAGGUAAGGCCCCGAUUCUUUCUUUUAUUUUUACAUUUCAAACUAACACUAGAAGGUAACAAACAAGGGAUGAUACGAGAUCCUAGGUCUGAAAGCACGCAUUGCACUCUUUUUCCCUUAAACCGGCUUUGUCCCAAAUGGGUUUUCCGGCAAGAUUUUUAACGAGGUAACAAGUAAAUCAUGCUAACUUAGAAUUAAAGGCCAACUACGAACCAGUGACAAUGAUCACAACAUCAUUCGAGGCCUCUCUUCGGUUAGCCCCGAACACUGGGGGGCAAUACCCUCGGAUAUCGAAUUUAACAAGGAAAGAAAACUUCGUGAUUGAAGGGUCUCGAUCAACAGGAUUUAUUGUAAGGGCCAAACAGUCAAAUGAACUGUACCCACACAGACUGCUCGAGCCCUGGCACAAAAUAUGUAUACAUAUACAACUAUUGUGCACAAGAAUAAAAAAGAAGACUCUUCCUUGCACAUAAACAUCUUUUCCUUUAAAAUGUUUCUUGCAUUUUUCAAGGAAUUUCCUAAAGCUAUCGAGCCCAAGGGCUACCUUAAUCCGAGUUCGAACAUUCACUCCCACUCGGGGAAUGCCGACCGAAAAUAAUCUCGGGCGGUCCGAGCUAUCAGAUCUCAAGGGCACAAGACCAAUUAGGCAAUGCCUGAAUUUCAAAGGCCAAGGCCACCCCCACUCGGGGACAGUUAUAUUAGGCAUGCCCGGAUAACUCAGAAUAGCAAGCCCACUGGGCGACGCCUGAACUAAAAAGGAUACGACCAUAUUAACACAGCUCGGAGACGUCCGAGACUCGUAACAAAAAAAGGCCUUCAAAAAAUUCUUUUUUAUAACCGGGUCUAAAGGCUACCCUCGACAAACCAUAAACCUAAACUAUUUUGGGAAAAAGUUUUUGGUAACACCGAAUCCCUCCGAUGCCUAAACACAAAAAAUAAUGUUAAAGGCAAGGUUUGUUCGAACCUUAGAAUGCAACCUAGUUAUUUCAUGCUAAGGCAUUUCGACCUUUGCGAAUACAAAUAAAAAAGCGAAGGAAAAAUUCAAAAGCUGUGAAAGGGAAAAGCCUUAGAUAUAUAUCAAAAUUUAUUUUUACAAGAGCUGAAUAGACCCGAUAUAUAUUUUUACAAAGGUCGAACGACCUCAACAAAAAGAUAGUACAAAAAACAAAAGGCAAAAAUGCCUAAAAUGAUCCUAAACGGCCUAAUCUUCAUCGGGGGCCACGUCAACACCUACGGGGUCUUCGCCACCAUCAGACUCACCCGACUCUUUAGACCCCUCGGAAUCUUCCUCGGGAUAAGCCAACUUCCUGGUCUUGGCUAUCUCGAUUUCAGCCAAUAAGUCAAAAUUCUUAGCAUGGACUCCCUCGAGGGCCUCCCUUCGGGAUUGCCACCUCGCAUGCUUCACCAUGUUUCUUGCUUGGUCCUGAAUCGCCUCGGCAUCGGCCUUGUGCUAGGCCACCUUAUCAUCGGCCUCGGCCCUGACCACGGCAACCUCUGACUUGGUCACCUCAAACUCCUUGGCCAGAUUCUCUUGACCGGAGACAGCCAAGUUCAGCUGAGACUGAAGCCCCUCGAUCGUUUUGGCCUGCACCAAGUUUUCCUCCUUUGCAGCCCGAAGCUGAAAAUCAGCCGAAGCCAACUGAGCCCGGCCAGUAUCCUUCUUCGAGGCCAGGCGAUCCAUGUUUUUCCGCCAUUCUUUAGCCUCGGCUUUGACCGUAUCCACCUUCCCCCAGAGCUGCUCGAUCUGGUCAAGCUUAUUUUGAACUUGCGAGUUUGGAUCGUUAGCCACUAUGUCUGACUCAUCAUGACUAACUUCAAAAACUCUUCUUACCUACUUGACCAGGUCGGUAUGCUCAUUCCGAGCCACUUCUAGCUCAGCCUGGGAUUUCUCACUAAGAAGCUUGUAAGCUUCCUUUUUCUCAGUAAGCUCCCGAGUCUCGACCUCGUGACAUUUGAACUCUUCCUGGUAUCGAAGAAAAGCCUUGCGAUGAAGUACCGAGGCUUGCAAGCACAAAGGAAAAUGUUACGAUUAUUUACGACCAAAUCUAAGUAUAUAAUAAAGGGACAUUCAAAGUUACUCGAUUCAACGCUUGUCGAGCUUCAUUGAACAUGAAAGGCGCUUCCACCUCAUUUAUUUUGGCCUGAUCCUCUUCAGUCACCAAUCACUGAAAGUAACUGGCAAUUCCCACGGGGGCAGAGAGAACCCGAAUAAACUCCGAAAUUGACAUAAAGAUUGCUCGCUUCCGGGUAGGAUCAACACUCGGAGCUGGGAACCGAUUCAUUAAUUUUGGGCUUGAAUAAGACCCGCCAGCUCCCGGAGACGGUAUCUUCCUUGGUACCAGUAAGUCAACCAACCCGGUGACAUCCUCCAAGGUGGUAGAAUCUAAGCCAUCGAAGAAGUUGUGAAAAGAAUCUGUUGCUCCUUGGGGCCCCUCGCUGCCUUUCAAUGUAUGAGCCUCGUUUAUCAUAGAAUCAGUAAACGAAGGAGACCCGGAGCUAUCUAUCACUUCGAGUGCGUCGUUCGAAACAUUAUCUUCCUACCAAGAAGUAUCGGCCACGGUUUAUUUGUCUUCCUCCCCAUCUCGGGGCAAAACGUCCUCAACCCUCCCUAGUUCGGGGGCCUCGGCCAUUGCUUCUUCAUUGGCCUCCCUAGUUUGAGGCAGUUCAGAACCGCUUCUCAUGUGGGCCACCAAUUCGGAUUCUUCUUCUUCUUCUUCGGACUCAUCCCUCAACCGGUAGACUGACUCUGAUGGGAGUUCUUGGGCACUGGUAUUUUCUUUAGGUUUGCACGCCAGCCGCUUCCUCGGUUUCUUUUUUUCGGGGCUCGAGGAGCUCGGAACUUUUCUUCUUUUCUUCUCUUUAUCCUGCUUCGGACCAGGGGGAUCGGUGAAUAUGUCAUCAUCGCCGUACGGAUGCCUCAUUUCGAUACCUUUUGGUAAACCUGCAAAAGAGAAGUAACCAAUUCAGAAAUCGAGGGCGUAAAAGUAAGGUCGAAUGUAACUUAAAGAAAAAAAUCUCACCAUGAGAAUGGGCCUCCCAUCGGCCCUUCGAAAGCUCAUGCCAUGAGCGCUCGAAAUAAGAUAUCUGUGUUGUGAUACCCUUGACCCAUUCCUUGAGUCGAGGAACUACGUUCGGCAUCUAAGCAACAGUUGUACCAUCACAAAAUAUCAAUGAAAAUGGAGGAAAAAGAAAAGCAAUAAAAGAAAUCUUAAAGGCAAAGUUAUACUUACGUUUAAUGUUCCAUUUCUCAAGAAAUGGCAUAUCCUCGGCCGGGAUUAAAUCCGAGGUCUUCGCUCGAACAAAAUGGCCCAACAAGCCUCGGUCCCGAUCCUUAUCGAUGCUCGAGAAUAGGGCCUUACCGGCCUGACGUGCAAGCUUGAUUAAUCCCCCUCAAUAGAGUCGGGGGCUAUACAGGUUCAUAAGGUGGUCGAUGGUAAAGGGACACCCCUCGAGUUUGCUCACGAAGAAUCGAAGAAGAAUUACUAUCCUCCAAAAUGAAGGAUGAAUCUACCCGAGAGUCACCUCAUACCUUUUGCAAAAGGCUAUGAUAACUGGAUCUAAAGGACCCAACGUGAAAGGGUAAAUGUAAACACUUAAAAAAACCCUCCAUGUGGGUGGUGAUCGAUUCCUCGGGGGAAGGGACCACUAUAAGCUUAUCGGCCCAGUUGCAGUCCUCUUUGACCUUCUCGACGACACUAUCGGUGACUGAACAUAUGUACCUCGAGACCGGCUCGCACCGACCCGGUACCAAGGAGGUUUUCUCGACUUGGAAAUCGGCUCCGGUUGGACAACCCGCAGGGACGGACAUCUUUAGAGGGGGUUCUGGUGUCGGUUCUUCAGUGACAGCAUGCGAAACGUUCUCAGACGAUCUCGAGGAAGAAAGGUUUUCUUUUUUAGGGAUAGAUUUUGAUGUCUUUACCAUUGCUUCUAAAUAGAGAAGAAAAGAAGGAGGUGUAAUUAGCAGAUAACUUAUGAAAGCUUUCAGAAAACGAGAAGAUGAGAGUGAUGAAGUUUUCUUAAAACACAAGAGCAAAUGUUUGAAUGUAAAAUUUCUAAUGAAUGGAUGAAAAUGGUAUUUAUAGUUUUCUCAAAUGGCUGUUCGCAUCCUGUAACGCCGACCAUUAACUGACAUAUAUUUAAUGCCUUGAAGACUGGACCAACGGUACAUUUUAACUAUUCUUAUCACUUACGUCAUGAAUUCAUCGUCGUGAUUUAUCGGAGUGAGAAUCGGAAGCUCGUAUCAUUUCUCAUCAUUUACUCUUCGAAAAAUAAGGGGAUUUGAUGUCAUGUUUUUAUCACUUACGUCAUGAUAUAUCCAAGUGAGAAUCUGAGGCUCAUGUCGUUCCUCGUCAUCUACUCUCCAAAAAAUGAGGGGACUAAUCUGUAUAUGGGUAAAAUCGAGCUCAAUAUUCGAUCGAACUUCCGAACUCCCUAAUUAGGCCAGGGUCGGAAUAUCUGUGAUCGGGUGGAGUCGAGCUCGAAGAUCGAUAUGGCGUCUAACACCAUCAACCAAGAUCGGCACAUGGUGAUUAUGAUCGAACCCAAAGCAUUGUCAAAGUUAGCCAUCGAAACUAUCAGAUUUGCCCUCGAGUUUACCAAAGGCGUAACCGGUCAUGUUUCUAACGGUCUCGAAGAAAGGUUUGCCCACUCAUCCGACAGGGGUCCAUAAUUCUCGCCAUUAACCAACCAUUAUGGAAGAAAUCACGGAACGAGUCAAAAAGGGACCAACGAUCAGCAAAUCAUGGACUUUUGCCUUUUAUAGAACAAUAAGAUAAUAUCUUAAAAGGUAGGUCUCUCCUAAUAUAUAAAGGGGAUUUAAAAAUUCAUGAUACAAAUUGUAACAUACACGGAUAAGCAAUACAUUCUCUGAGUUCUUACUCUUUGGUAUCUUUGUCUCAACAAAAGUGCAUUCAUUUCAAGGGUGGCUUGCUUACCUGUUUACCCGAAAAAUGGAUAGAGUUGAAUUUAUACGUAAUUCUAAGGAUACGUGGUAUAACUCGGCACAAAUUGGAAAAAUAAGUAGGUAUAUAUUGAAUAUUGACUGUAAAAAAGAAUGAAUACAAACCCUAAUUGAGUAGAGAGUGAUUGAUAAAUGAACAAGAUGAAUCAAUAUCAAAAGCCCAAAAAAGGAUAAUAUUUGCUAGAUGUUAUGUAAAUCUCAAUAACCUCUGAAUGUGAGAAUGUGUGAAUGUAUAUCAAUCUGCCCUUUACAAAUGUUAGCCACUCCUAAUAUAGUGGAGGAAUCCUACUUUGGAUAUAAUUAAAAAUAUAUAGUGGGGAUCCCAUGAUAGAUUAAUUGGCUUUUCCUUGAUUCAAGCCGUGAUUUCAGCCGAGAUUCUCUCCCCAAAUGCGGCUAUAAUGGCUUUGUUGUUCCUUGGCUUGGUCUCGAUCUUGGUCGGUCUCCGGAUCUCGAGUUCGACCUUGACUCGAUCUCGGUAUUUUAUAGGUCUCUGGGUCUCGAGCUCGACCUUGACUCGAUCUCGGUACUGAUUAGUCUCCGGGUCUCGAGCUCGACCUUCCAACUUCAUAUCACAGCUUGAUAUUAUAAUGACGAACCUCGGUCCAUCAUGCUCCAAUCUUGAUUAGUCGCACAAAGGGCAAACUCGAUUUUGGCCGUAUACAGAUAGUCCCCUCGUUUCUCGGAAAGAAGGUGGCAAGAAACGAUAUGAUUUUUCAACCUCUGACUAGAUACAUACUGACAUCUGUGACGAGCCCGAUUGUGACGUAUGUGACAAAUGUCCCGUCGGUCCAGUUACCAAGGCAUUAAAUGCGCGUCACCCAAUGGUCAGCCACUGCCAAUUUUGAACCAUUACUGUGAAAUCUAUAAAUAACCCCGUUCUUCAUUAUUUCAAACUUUUACCUUCAAAUCUCUUUUCAUUCCAAUCUUCACAGUUCUUUGCCUUCUCCAAAGCUCUCUAUUUCCAGGUUUUGGAAUUUCUUCGCUUGUUCUUCUCAAAACACCAAAUACUUCACUCUCCCUUCUUCUUUGUUUAUAAAAGUUUAGAUGGCAAAAAUAUCUAAAACUGUUCCGCAGAAAGAGGCUGCUUCCUCAUCUGGGUCGGCCGGCGAGAAAAUAGUGGUGGAGCCACGCCUUGAAAAGCUUGUUCCCGGGGGGUGCAUUAUUGAUUCUGAUUUUAAGGUCGAGAAACCCUCCUCGGUUGCUAGUCUAUGCGAGCCGGUAUCGAGAUAUAUAUGCUCGAUACCAAAAAGCCUUUUUGACCUGGUGAAAAAAGACUACUAUUGGGAAAAUAAAGAGGUUGUGAUACCGGCACCGGAGGAGGUGAUCACUACCCACGUAGAAGGGUACCUGAGUGUUUACACUUAUCCUUUCACGCUGGGUCCCCUCGAUUUAGUCAUCAUUGAUUUUUACAAGAAAUACCAGGUGACCCUCGGUCAAAUUCACCCUUCUUUCUAGAGGAUUGUGAUACUGCUUCGUUUCUUUGUGAGCAAAAUCGACGAGCAUCCCUUCACCCUCGACCACCUCGUAAGAUUAUAUAGCCCUCGACUUUACCGAGGUGGUCUGAUAAAGAUUUAAUGCCGGGCCACCAAGGCGUUUGCCUCGAGCAUAGCUGAAGACAAAGAUCGAGGUUGGAUGGGUCGGUUCGUUUGAGUGAAGACCUCGGACCUAAUACCGGCUGAGAGUAUGCCAUUUCUCGAGAAAUGGAAUAUGAACCUUAAGUGUGAUCCCGUUUUUAGUUUUUGUUGUUUUUACUUCUUUAUCAUUUCUUAUUAGUGUUUUUCUUGACGCAGCCGUUGCUUGGAUGUCGGGUGCGGUUCCCCAUCUCGAGAACUGGGUCAGGAGCCUGGUUUCGACGUCAACAUACGCCGAGCGCGCAUGGCGCGAUUUGUCAAAG
rnacentral:lncRNA from 1 species